GUGGGGAAUUUUGGACAAUGGGCGCAAGCCUGAUCCAGCCAUGCCGCGUGCAGGAUGAAGGCCUUCGGGUUGUAAACUGCUUUUGUACGGAACGAAACGGCUCUUUCUAAUAAAGAGGGCUAAUGACGGUACCGUAAGAAUAAGCACCGGCUAACUACGUGCCAGCAGCCGCGGUAAUACGUAGGGUGCGAGCGUUAAUCGGAAUUACUGGGCGUAAAGCGUGCGCAGGCGGUGAUGUAAGACAGAUGUGAAAUCCCCGGGCUCAACCUGGGGAUUGCGCUUGUGACUGCAAGGCUGGAGUGCGGCAGAGGGGGAUGGAAUUCCGCGUGUAGCAGUGAAAUGCGUAGAUAUGCGGAGGAACACCGAUGGCGAAGGCAAUCCCCUGGGCCUGCACUGACGCUCAUGCACGAAAGCGUGGGGAGCAAACAGGAUUAGAUACCCUGGUAGUCC
rnacentral:rRNA from 1 species